CUACCAUGCAGUCGACGGCAGCAAGAGGACUUGCUCCUUGUGUGGCGAGUGGCGGACGUGUGACGAAUAAUCUGACUCUACUUUGUCGUGGGGGAUAACGUAGGAAAGCUUACACUAAUACCGUACACCACCUAAAGGUGAAAGCUGGGCACCCUCGGCCCUUGCGCGAUUGAAUGAGCCGAAUUCGGAUUAUCUAGUUGGCGGGGUAAAGGCCCACCACGGCCACUAUCCGUACCUGGUCUGAGAGGAUGAUCACCCACACUGGAACUGAGACCCGGUCCAUACUCCUAGGGGAGGCGGCAGUGGGGAAUAUUGGACAAUGGGCGCAAGCCUGAUCCACCCAUACCGCGUGGGUGAACAAGGCCUUCGGGUUGUAAAGCCCUUUUGUUGAGAAAGAGUUCCAUCUGGCUAAUACCCGGUUGACGAUGACUGUACCCAAAAAAUACGCACCGGCUAACUUCGUGCCCCCCGCCGCUGUAAUACGAGGGGUGCUAGCUUUACUCUGAAUUACUGAGCGUAAAGCGUGCCUACGUGGUCUUUUAAAUCCGUUGUGACAGCCCUGGGCUCGACCUGGGAACUGCAUUGUAUACUGGGCGACUAUAGUGUAG
rnacentral:rRNA from 1 species